UGGGGCAAGGCGGCAGGCUACACAUGCAAGUCGAGGGGUAACAGGGGGUGCUUGCACUCCGCUGACGACCGGCGCACGGGUGCGUAACGCGUAUACAAUCUGCCUUAUACUGGGGUAUAGCCUUUAGAAAUGAAGAUUAAUCCCCCAUAGUCUCUAGAUGUGGCAUCACAAUUAGAGUAAAGGUUACGGUAUAAGAUGAGUAUGCGUUCUAUUAGUUUGUUGGUGAGGUAACGGCUCACCAAGACUACGAUAGAUAGGGGCCCUGAGAGGGGGAUCCCCCACACUGGUACUGAGACACGGACCAGACUCCUACGGGAGGCAGCAGUGAGGAAUAUUGGACAAUGGAGGCAACUCUGAUCCAGCCAUGCCGCGUGCAGGAAGACUGCCCUAUGGGUUGUAAACUGCUUUUAUAUAGGAAGAAACCUUGGUACGUGUACCAAGCUGACGGUACUAUAAGAAUAAGGAUCGGCUAACUCCGUGCCAGCAGCCGCGGUAAUACGGAGGAUCCAAGCGUUAUCCGGAAUCAUUGGGUUUAAAGGGUCCGUAGGUGGAUAAUUAAGUCAGAGGUGAAAUCUUGCAGCUCAACUGUAAAAUUGCCUUUGAUACUGGUUGUCUUGAGUUAUUAUGAAGUAGUUAGAAUAUGUAGUGUAGCGGUGAAAUGCAUAGAUAUUACAUAGAAUACCAAUUGCGAAGGCAGAUUACUAAUAAUCAACUGACACUGAUGGACGAAAGCGUGGGUAGCGAACAGGAUUAGAUACUCUGGUAGUCCACGCCGUAAACGAUGGUUACUAGCUGUUUGGACCUUGUGUCUGAGUGGCUAAGCGAAAGUGAUAAGUAACCCACCUGGGGAGUACGUUCGCAAGAAUGAAACUCAAAGGAAUUGACGGGGGCCCGCACAAGCGGUGGAGCAUGUGGUUUAAUUCGAUGAUACGCGAGGAACCUUACCAGGCUUAAAUGUAAGUUGCAUAGAUCAGAGAUGGUCUUUUUCUUCGGACUACUUACAGUGCUGCAUGGUGUCGUCAGCUCGUGCCGUGAGGUGUCAGUUAAGUCCUAUAACGAGCGCACCCUGUCGUAGGUUGCAGCAGUAUGUUGGGCACUCUAGCGAGACUGCGGGUGCAAACCCGCAGGAGGUGGGGAAUGACGUCCAAUCAUUC
rnacentral:rRNA from 1 species